AGAUGAGGACAAGAGUAACAUCAGGUGGAUUCGGUGGAUUAAAAACAGGUAAGUGUUAUUUAUCAGUGUUUUUUGGCUAAUAUUUAUUUCCAUUUCAGGUUUUGAAUUAAGUGGUACAUGCCGUCCUUUUGGCACGCUCUUACAUUUGCAGUAAUAAAGUGCAUCAGCCGCACCUCAGUUAAGUGGAUACUGCAUGCAUUAGUUUGUAAAUAAUUUAAUAAAUAAUAAUUAUUAUUUCCAGUUGUUGUUUGCAGCAAGAUGAGGGCAAGAGUAACAUCAGGUGGAUUCGGUGGAUUAAAAGCAGGUUUUGAAUUAAUUGGUACAUGCCGUCCUUUUGGCACGUUCUUUCAUUUGCAGUAAUAAAGUGCAUCAGCCGCCCCUCAGUUGAGUAGAUACUACGUGCAUUAGUUUGUGAAUAAUUUAAUAAAUAAUAAUUAUUAUUUCCAGUUGUUGUUUGCAGCAAGAUGAGGGCAGGAGUAACAUCAGGUGGAUUCGGUGGAUUAAAAGCAGGUUUUGAAUUAAUUGGUACAUGCCGUCCUUUUGGCACGUUCUUUCAUUUGCAGUAAUAAAGUGCAUCAGCCGCCCCUCAGUUAAGUGGAUACUGCAUGCAUUAGUUUGUAAAUAAUUUAAUAAAUAAUAAUUAUUAUUUCCAGUUGUUGUUUGCAGCAAGAUGAGGGCAAGAGUAAGAUCAGGUGGAUUCGGUGGAUUGAAAGCAGGUUUUGAAUUAAUUGGUACAUGCCGUCCUUUUGGCACGCUGAGUCAAAAGCAGGUGUUUAUUCAAUUGGUACUCGCCGUCCUCCUGGCACGCUCUGGGUAGCAAUUUAGUCCUGUGAGAAGGCCUUCCCUCAUCCGCAGCAAUCAGGUGCAACAGCCGUCCCUCAGUUAAGUAGUUACUGCAUGCGCUGGUCUAUAGAUAAUUUAACAAGUACUAGCAGUUUGAUUACUCUUUUCAUUCUUUUUUUUUUCUCCCUCUUUUUAGGUAUUGUUCAUAGCAAGAUGAAGGCCAGUGCAACAUCAAGCGGACUCGGUAGAUUAAAAACAGAUGUUUAUUUAAUUGGUUUACGCCGUCCUUCUGGCACGCUCUGGGUAGUAACUCAGUCCUGUAAGAAGGCCUUCCUUCCUCCGCAGCAGUCAGGUGCAACAGCCGUCCCUUAGUUAAGUGUAUAGAUAAUUCUAACAAGCAUUAGCGGUUUGAUCACUCUUUUUAAUUUUUUUUUUUUCCCUUCUAAGGUAUUUUCCAUGGCAGGAUGAAGACCAGUGUACUAGCAGGUGGACUCUGUCCAGUCCAGGCGCACAUAUGCGCGCCACCUCUCAGAAUAAGCUCGGCUGGUUUGAAAACAGAGAUCGCAAACCGGUCCCGCCUUUCACCCGUCAAGCAGCGUCUCUCAAAAAUCCAGU